rnacentral:rRNA from 1 species
GAGUUUGAUCCUGGCUCAGGAUGAACGCUGGCGGCGUGCCUAAUACAUGCAAGUCGAGCGAAUGGAUUGAGAGCUUGCUCUCAAGAAGUUAGCGGCGGACGGGUGAGUAACACGUGGGUAACCUGCCCAUAAGACUGGGAUAACUCCGGGAAACCGGGGCUAAUACCGGAUAACAUUUUGAACUGCAUGGUUCGAAAUUGAAAGGCGGCUUCGGCUGUCACUUAUGGAUGGACCCGCGUCGCAUUAGCUAGUUGGUGAGGUAACGGCUCACCAAGGCAACGAUGCGUAGCCGACCUGAGAGGGUGAUCGGCCACACUGGGACUGAGACACGGCCCAGACUCCUACGGGAGGCAGCAGUAGGGAAUCUUCCGCAAUGGACGAAARUCUGACGGAGCAACGCCGCGUGAGUGAWGAAGGCUUUCGGGUCGUAAAACUCUGUUGUUAGGGAAGAACAAGUGCUAGUUGAAUAAGCUGGCACCUUGACGGUACCUAACCAGAAAGCC